rfam:Mustela putorius furo unplaced genomic scaffold scaffold00052, whole genome shotgun sequence.
UUUUUAACCUAUAAAAGAUAAUGGACUAUAUUUUAUAGACUGGAUUUUAUCUUAUCCCUUUCCCUCUCCUGACUGCACUCAGUUUAACAGUUGUCAGUUUUUUUUCUUUUUUCUUAAGGGUUGGAUUUAAUUAUAUGGGACCAAAAUAUUCCUUAGUAAAUUAGCUUGCUAAAUAUUCUGUCAUUAUGCUAUUCUGCGUUUGAGAAACAGCUUAAUUACGGAAAUCUAUCU